ACUCCUACGGGAGGCAGCAGUGGGGAAUAUUGCGCAAUGGGCGAAAGCCUGACGCAGCAACGCCGCGUGAGAGAUGACGGCCUUCGGGUUGUAAACCUCUUUCAGCAGGGAAGAAGCGAAAGUGACGGUACCUGCAGAAGAAGCACCGGCUAACUACGUGCCAGCAGCCGCGGUAAU
rnacentral:rRNA from 1 species